rnacentral:rRNA from 1 species
AGUGAACGCUGGCGGUAGGCCUAACACAUGCAAGUCGAACGGCAGCACAGUAAGAGCUUGCUCUUACGGGUGGCGAGUGGCGGACGGGUGAGGAAUACAUCGGAAUCUACUUUUUCGUGGGGGAUAACGUAGGGAAACUUACGCUAAUACCGCAUACGACCUACGGGUGAAAGCAGGGGAUCUUCGGACCUUGCGCGAUUGAAUGAGCCGAUGUCGGAUUAGCUAGUUGGCGGGGUAAAGGCCCACCAAGGCGACGAUCCGUAGCUGGUCUGAGAGGAUGAUCAGCCACACCGGAACUGAGACACGGUCCAGACUCCUACGGGAGGCAGCAGUGGGGAAUAUUGGACAAUGGGCGCAAGCCUGAUCCAGCCAUACCGCGUGGGUGAAGAAGGCCUUCGGGUUGUAAAGCCCUUUUGUUGGGGAAGAAAAGCAGCAGGUUAAUACCCCGCUGUUCUGACGGUACCCAAAGAAUAAGCACCGGCUAACUUCGUG